GAUGAACGCUGGCGGCGUGCCUAAUACAUGCAAGUCGAGCGAACAGACGAGGAGCUUGCUCCUCUGACGUUAGCGGCGGACGGGUGAGUAACACGUGGAUAACCUACCUAUAAGACUGGGAUAACUUCGGGAAACCGGAGCUAAUACCGGAUAAUAUAUUGAACCGCAUGGUUCAAUAGUGAAAGACGGUUUUGCUUUCACUUAUAGAUGGAUCCGCGCCGCAUUAGCUAGUUGGUAAGGUAACGGCUUACCAAGGCGACGAUGCGUAGCCGACCUGAGAGGGUGAUCGGCCACACUGGAACUGAGACACGGUCCAGACUCCUACGGGAGGCAGCAGUAGGGAAUCUUCCGAAAUGGGCGAAAGCCUGACGGAGCAACGCCGCGUGAGUGAUGAAGGUCUUCGGAUCGUAAAACUCUGUUAUUAGGGAAGAACAAAUGUGUAAGUAACUAUGCACGUCUUGACGGUACCUAAUCAGAAAGCCACGGCUAACUACGUG
rnacentral:rRNA from 1 species